rnacentral:rRNA from 1 species
GCAGUCGAGCGGUAACAGAAAGUAGCUUGCUACUUUGCUGACGAGCGGCGGACGGGUGAGUAAUGCUUGGGAACAUGCCUUGAGGUGGGGGACAACAGUUGGAAACGACUGCUAAUACCGCAUAAUGUCUACGGACCAAAGGGGGCUUCGGCUCUCGCCUUUAGAUUGGCCCAAGUGGGAUUAGCUAGUUGGUGAGGUAAUGGCUCACCAAGGCGACGAUCCCUAGCUGGUUUGAGAGGAUGAUCAGCCACACUGGGACUGAGACACGGCCCAGACUCCUACGGGAGGCAGCAGUGGGGAAUAUUGCACAAUGGGCGCAAGCCUGAUGCAGCCAUGCCGCGUGUGUGAAGAAGGCCUUCGGGUUGUAAAGCACUUUCAGUCAGGAGGAAAGGUUAGCGGUUAAUACCCGUUAGCUGUGACGUUACUGACAGAAGAAGCACCGGCUAACUCCGUGCCAGCAGCCGCGGUAAUACGGAGGGUGCGAGCGUUAAUCGGAAUUACUGGGCGUAAAGCGUACGCAGGCGGUUUGUUAAGCGAGAUGUGAAAGCCCCGGGCUCAACCUGGGAACUGCAUUUCGAACUGGCAAACUAGAGUGUGAUAGAGGGUGGUAGAAUUUCAGGUGUAGCGGUGAAAUGCGUAGAGAUCUGAAGGAAUACCGAUGGCGAAGGCAGCCACCUGGGUCAACACUGACGCUCAUGUACGAAAGCGUGGGGAGCAAACGGGAUUAGAUACCCCGGUAGUCCACGCCGUAAACGAUGUCUACUAGAAGCUCGGAGCCUCGGUUCUGUUUUUCAAAGCUAACGCAUUAAGUAGACCGCCUGGGGAGUACGGCCGCAAGGUUAAAACUCAAAUGAAUUUGACGGGGGCCCGCACAAGCGGUGGAGCAUGUGUUUUAAUUCGAUGCAACGCGAA